rnacentral:rRNA from 1 species
UAACACGUGGGUAAUCUGCCCUCAAGUGGGGAAUAACGCUGCGAAAGCAGUGCUAAUACCGCAUAAGCUCUCUAUGUGAAUAGCGAGUAAAGCUAAGGCGCUUGAGGAGGAGCCCGCGGUUGAUUAGCUAGUUGGUGGGGUAACGGCCUACCAAGGCGAUGAUCAAUAGCCGGCCUGAGAGGGCUGACGGCCACACUGGGACUGAGACACGGCCCAG